ensembl:lncRNA
UGAUUGCAUGUUAGCAUAAAACUAACAAUAUAAUUUGAUUAUUUUUUUUUUAAAUGAACAAUUCCUGUAUAAAAUGUGACAGCAACCUUUAUCUCAAACAUUUUGAAAUCGUCCACAGCUGAGCACCGCAGGAGACAGAUCUGAAGGUAUAUUUUUUUGUUCACGAAGUGAAUGUGGCACCAGCACGAUCAAAGUCACAAUUCACAAUUAUUGGUCACACAGUAAAGGCAUAAUUCAAAAAUGCAAAAUGUUAGCAGUUUGAAAAAUCAAGAAUAAUAACAGAGUUAAUAAGAAUUAUUUGUAAAUGCUGGACCAUUCUCAUUUCGCUCUGCAAAUGGAACCUGAAGAUUAUUAUUAUUAUAUCACUAAAUUAUAUUUCUCAGCAAGGAGGGGAGUAAAAUGUUUUUAAAAAUGCUGUUUUUAAGUAACUAAAGCUUCAUUGUUUGUAAAGAGAGACAGACGCAAUUUACACAUCUCUCUCUCUCUCUCUCUCUCUCUCAAAAUGGCUAUAUUUGAGAUUUUUUUUUUUUUUGAGUAGUAAGCAUCACUGGAUAUAGCUGUCAGUCAUUUAACAUUUCUAUUGUAAAAUAUAUUGUUAAAAUUUGACUAAUAUUAAAUGAUUUGCAGCUUCAUCUCACCUCACUCUUUAAAGUUCAGCUGACGCUUGCACUCUGCUUCUGUGAACAGUAAACCCCACCUACUUUAAUUUGAUUGGCCAUCUCAGUCAUUUUGACAUUUACGAGUGCUGUUAGACCGCAGAGGCUUUGAUCUGAAGAGCCUAGUAUGUGCAGCGGUCACGCGCACAUCCGUAGACUAGCGCAAGUUAAUUCUCACACUUUAAUAAUAUUAAAUAUUAGCUACUAACAGGCUGUGUGACUAUGAGAAGUUAUUUCCUCAAAAUGUACGUCAGUAUGCAGUUUUCCCUAUUGCUCGCGUGCCAGCGAUUAUUCCUCUGCAUGCCACUGUUGGCACGCAUGAGUUAGGUUGCUGACCCCUGAUCUAGAUCUUCAUCUCUCUUAUGUUUGAAGUCAAUGUGGGAGAAAAAUUUAGAUCUCAGCUUUUCUGAAGAGCUUUGGUCUGAGGCUCUUGUUAAUUAAUUGAUGUAAUUCUACUUCUGCUUGUGCCCGGUUAAGGCUGAUUCAGUUAAAAGUUUUGCACCGAACCCACUUUACCAAAGCUAGACUUUAAAAAUUGUUCCCAGAAACAGAUGACUUGUAUCAGAUGCUCCUUUUCUCCAGCUGACCAUAUUCAUACAUUUUUCAGUUGCCCUAAAUUAGCCUAAUACUGGGAAUCCUUUUUGAUUUUCUUUCAAGGGCU